rnacentral:misc_RNA from 1 species
AACAGGUGGAUAGUGAUGCCAAUUUGUUUGAAGGAAGUUUAGAUGGUCAUGAUAGCAUGGGCUUUGGUCCUUUGAUCCCAACAGAGAGUGAGAGAUCAUUGAUGGAGCGUGUGAGGCAGGAGUUAAAGCACGAGUUGAAACAGGGUUACAAGGAAAAACUAGUGGAUAUUAGAGAGGAAAUUCUUCGAAAGAGAAGGGCAGGAAAGCUCCCUGGCGAUACCACCUCUGUUUUGAAAGCUUGGUGGCAAUCACAU